rnacentral:rRNA from 1 species
GAUGAACGCUGGCGGCGUGCUUAACACAUGCAAGUCGAACGCAGUGCUUUAGCUUCGGUUGAGGCAGCUGCGUGGCGGACGGGUGCGUAACACGUAGGAACUUGCCCCAGAGAGGGGGAUAACCGUUGGAAACGACGGAUAAUCCCGCAUACGCUCCUUCGGGAGAAAAGCUCCGGCGCUCUGGGAUGGGCCUGCGGCCUAUCAGGUAGUUGGUGGGGUAAUGGCCUACCAAGCCUACGACGGGUAGGGGGCGUGAGAGCGUGGCCCCCCACACGGGAACUGAGACACGGUCCCGACGCCUACGGGCGGCAGCAGUGAGGAAUCUUGCACAAUGGGCGAAAGCCUGAUGCAGCGACGCCGCGUGCGGGAAGAAGGCCUUCGGGUUGUAAACCGCUUUUCUGGGGGACGAGACAGGACGGUACCUCAGGAAUAAGUCCCGGCUAACUACGUG